rnacentral:rRNA from 1 species
UACGAAGGGAGCUAGCGUUGUUCGGAAUUACUGGGCGUAAAGGGCGCGUAGGCGGUUCUGCAAGUUGGAUGUGAAAGCCCAGGGCUCAACCCUGGAAUUGCAUUCAAGACUGCAUUACUUGAAUUCGGUAGAGGUGAGUGGAAUUCCCAGUGUAGAGGUGAAAUUCGUAGAGAUUGGGAAGAACACCGGUGGCGAAGGCGGCUCACUGGACCGACAUUGACGCUGAGGCGCGAAAGCGUGGGGAUCAAACAGG